rnacentral:rRNA from 1 species
UUCUUGGAGAGUUUGAUCCUGGCUCAGGACGAACGCUGGCGGCGUGCCUAAUACAUGCAAGUCGAGCGAACAAUAGGAGCUUGCUCCCUGUUGGUUAGCGGCGGACGGGUGAGUAACACGUGGGCAACCUGCCUGUAAGACGGGGAUAACUCCGGGAAACCGGGGCUA